GUGUAGGUUGCUUAGACAUCAGAUAAUUGGUCAAUUGGGAAGGUUUAGUAUGUAAACUUUUUUUUUCAUCUUUAUAUUUCUGUCAACAAUUUCUUUUCAAGACAGAAAAGAAGGUCACAGCAGUACUAGAAACCCAGGACAGGGAGAUGGAAGUGAUGCAUAAGAAACAUCAGUUUUCAUAAUUUCAGGAGCUGGCAGUGGAAGUCUUGAGGGCAAGAGAAGCUGAUGUUUGAAGGAAAACGAUUACUUAUUGCAACCACAUGGAAAGAAUACCUCCCCGAACAACACCACCGGAUCUUUACAUUUAAACAAAUGUAAAACCCCCCAGGGGCAGGGACUGGUGAACCAGUGGAUCAGACAGCCCCUCAUGGACAAGAACUGCAUUGAGGAGAGAUCAGUUCUGCUCCGGGCUUUACUCACCUUCACCCUCCGCAGUCACAGAGCCACAUUUCACACAGUGGGGAACAUGGGGGUGUAUGGACUGGGGAAGAGUUCACUGAAUCAAUGGAUUCAUGAUAAUAAAAAACUGGAAUGAUGCAGCACGUUCCUGUAUCUGAUGACUCAGAGAGAUGAAAGUACAGUCACGUUUUCAUUUGAUCCAGCAGUGAAGCACCCACGUUAUGAUCAGUACGAUUCUAUUAACCCAUUUCUAUUAUUGUUCAAGUAGUGCCCAAUAUAGCAGCUGUCCCCAACCGCAGGUCCAGCACACCAAUAUGACAUGAACCUUCACUGUGGUAGCCACCACUUACUCUACGCAUUACAUCGUUGACUGAAGAGUUCAUGAAUUUUGCACGUGCCUAUGUAAACUAUGUCUGUUCAGUUGAAGAUUGUUUUUCAUGUUUGUUUCCUAUCCUCAUGGUUUACUACAUAGAAAAUGGUUGUUAUUGAAUACACCUUGCUUGUGAUCUCUUGGUUAAUUCCAUUCACACCAGUGAUUGCAUGUUUGAAGCCUGGAGGCUCUGUGGCUGUAAAUUUAAAUCUUCUUUAUAUGCUAGUAUCACAAUUUUCAGUUGCUCAAAGGUGUCUUCACAGUAGUGAGACAGUUCUAUUCGUCCAAUUUCAAAUAUAAAAUGUGGGGUUUUUUUUUGGUGAGGUUGCUGUCUUUUGAAGACAAAACCCUCCUUGUUAUUGUUCUUGGUGUUUGUGUGCAGUUGGCAGAGGUUCAGUCUGCAAGCCAAUCACAGCCCAACACUAAGAUGGUACUUGACAAGUUUGGUGAGAUUUAGUUUUGCUUACAAUACAUUAAGGAUGGAAAUAAGACUCCCAUUGCAUAGCACUUUGAGCCAUUGACUUUAAUUACACACCUGAGCUUGAUGCCUAUACAUUGUGAAACUGUUACACAACACAAGACUGAAAUCAGAUUUUAAUAAAAUCAAUACAUAUAUAGGAUAUCCUGAUAUGUGUUGCAGAGUGUGGCCUUGGUAAACUCUGUUUAUGAAUAUGUUACACAUGCAUAUAUACUUUUGCAUAUCCCCUCAUUGUAUUGCACACUGUAGAAAGUAGUUGGAAUUGAAUUUAUUUUCCCACUGAUUAAGUGUACCCUGUGGUUUUAUGCAGUGCCAGGUUUUGAGUCAAUGAAAGUACACCUGGUGUCUCUGGCAUGAUUGUGUAUGAGAAUUGAGAGAUUGCUGUGUUGCAGAGCACAAAUAGGCUUUGCUUCUGAGGGUAGUUGUGCUGUUGAUCAGCCCGAUGCGUACCAUCUCCUCCAGGCACUGUCCUACAGCAGCAGUCUUACACAUCCUAGACAUAGCUUCAGUUAAUCAAGACACAACUUUGGUUUAAGACAACAGUGGUGACUCAUGAACGGUGCAGAGUGAGAUUAAUGCAGAGUGUGUGUUGGAAUGCAGCAGAAACUGCAUUCGUUACAAGGAGAAAGGCCACUCCCUCUACACUGGACAACCAACAUUUGUUUUGUUAUAUAAUUUAUUUUGUUAAAUAACAGGGAUCAAAAUAUUCACCUUUGCAUUUAUAUCAACACGCUAACAAAAUUAUAAUAUGGUAGCGUUGUAGGUGAUGUUUAAUAGAGAACCAGACGAGGCUGUUUGGUCCUUGAACACGUCUCUGGUUUAUUUAAAUCAGAUCCGUACACAUAACUUAACAACAGGAAGAGUCACCAUAUUCAGCCUCCCUCCCGCUCCCCCAGACUUAACUAAACAGUCCCUCCAUCUCUCCACAGGCUUGGCAAAUCGAAUAUCGCUGAACCAAUACCCCAAACAUUUCACAUAACAAUUCUUACAUUUACUCCCCACAUUUCCCAUAGCAAUUAUUACAGUAUUAUUGGAGGCCAGAAAAUUAUCUGUUUUAUUAGAAAUAUUUUUAUUUUCGAGGUUGCGUGUAAUGUGUGUGUGUGUGCACACGCAAUGUUAUAAACCUAUGGUGGACGGUGCUGCGCUUGUUGGCUCGUAGUUGUUGUCAUAUGGGAUUUACAGUUUACUGGGAGAGCCUUCGGUGCAUUUGAAAUGUAAAGGAAGAAAUCCAUACCCACGGCUUCAGAUAGUGUGUUGUUGAGCUAUAUAUACAAUACUAGCUGGUAAUACCAGGACAUGUGUUUCUGUGCUGAAAUCAGCUCUGGUAUGCUGAUUGAAUAGAAUAAAAUGAAAUGUCCAAUAAUUACCUGCAUCUUGUCCCUAUUGUACCACCUAUUUUAACUCGAAAGCACAAAGCAGCAAAGAUGCUGGAGCGACUCACCUGGGCGUAGUUUGUUUACAUUGUACUAGAGCAGAUUAUUUGUGUGCAUGCAAAACCAAUGGGAUUUAAACAAAUCUACCAUCCCUGAUAGUUGUCCUUAUAGUGAUCUCUCUAAAUUGAACAGCGUUGCUUAUUUAAACUCUACUUGGCGAGAAAUUGAAACAACCUGUAAUUUCUUAGUUUUGCGGUGUUGCCUGUAGUUUUAAUUAACAACAAACCAUAAUGCUAGCUAGUAAUCGCUUAUGAUUCAUACAGCAUUGGUUGGCAACAAGUUAUAAUUAUUCUGCUAGUUGCUGGCUUAAAUACAACUUGGAGGAAACGUGAGUGUUUUCAACAGGUUUGUUUUAAAGCUUCCAGGAGUUGUGGUUUUCCAGUCAAAGAUGAUCUCUGUGAAUGUGCUUUGACCUGUUUACUGGACAGCACUGGUAUUUUUUAAAAGUUGUUCAUUCGAAAAGGGAAAGCAGAUUGAGAAAUGUCUGUGCCUCCUGACUCCCGCAUUGCACUCAAGACACACUGCACCUCUGCUGAACAGCGCUUUUCUUUGAAAAUGGGGUUCUCUUUUAACUUCUUUCUCCGGGUUAGUCUUUAUUUUUAGGCUGGAAGUUGCCCAGCAGUCUUUUCCUCUGGAAAAGUUAGAAUCUUAGUUGGUGAGAUUCACAUGGAGGGCAGGUGACAGAUAGGAAGCUGGGUACAAUGAGUGAGUCCUUGACACCAGUUAAAAACAUUUCUGUGAUUAGUUAUGCCAUUCAAUUUAUCUUUCAACCUGGUAAAUUAAUCCACAGUAACCAAUACCUUCAAAUGAAAUAUUUUUAUUAAAAACAAACAAACAAACAAAAAAAAAAAACAGCAACAAUUGCCUUUUAUUAUCCACACCAAAUGCUGCAGUAGUACUGAUAUACUGUACGAGGGAUGCUAAUAAGACUCCUGUUGCAGAGCAGUUUCACCCAUUCCAGGUUUUACUACAAGCUUGAUUAGCCACAGUGUCUAUUAACCAGGGUGUGGUUCUGAUUAACAUUGGAGCAGAGAACCUGAAAUAACACUGGGUGUGUGGAUGAUGAUGAUGAUGAUGGGAGGGGGAUGAUAUAUUUCCCUACCUAUCUGAUUUCUGUGAUGGCUUGUGGCUAUUCAAAAUUGUUGUUGUUCUUCAACCGAGGCUAAUGAGUCAUUGAAGGUAGGCUUGCAUUGGUUCUCUGAGAGCACAUCGGAAUGCCCUGAGGCUGUUAGCACCAUGGCAACAGCAGAGUAGACUUUCCAACUGAAACCUGUUGACACUUGUUUUUAUACCCCAGCUUUCUCCCUUUGAAUUCUGGGUAGGGCGGUUUCUGUUUGGGUUUUCCACAUGGGACCGGCCUGACAUGGAGUAAGCUUUCUGGGAAGAACUCUUCAUGAACAAAGACAAACAGAAGUCAGAACUGACUGUCCAUCUGGCUAUCUCCUUUUAUAGGAAAGAAACAGGGCAAUGUUGAAUUUUGGAGCCGUCUAUUAAUGCUAAACCUGGUGGAGUCCUUUGUGGAAGACUCAGAGCUGCUGCAAAACUUCCAGGAGAACCUUCUGCGCCGCUUCCCUGACCUCUACCGGCUGGCCAAGAGGUUCCAGCGGGACUUCUACCGGCUCCACCAGGCCCCAAUCUGGUGCUGGCACUCGAGAGAUACGGCGUAUAGCAUAUUAAGUGAUGAACCCCAAUGCCACAGAACUGGGCAGAGCAUACAAAGUACUCCUAAAAUCCUGGCAAGAUCACGACCUGCAUUUAAAUGUGGAAUUGAAAAGGAAUGAACUUCCCACUGCCCCUUUUUUUCUGCAGUGCUACCUGAUUAUAUUAGGACUGUUUUAACUCAGUGCUUCAUCAAAAUGACACUGUACUGCUUUAUAAUGUGUGAGACUGCAAAGGCUAGCACUCUGUCUUCUGCAAAUAAAGACAGUACAAUAUCUGGAUGUGCCUUUCUGUCAACCUAAUUUUUUUUAUAGCUUGUGUUUGAACUUUAUAUUAUUACCAAGUAGCAUUGCUUCUAGAUGGUGAGUUAUUGCACAGGUCUGCAGUAUCCAGCCUGUUUUGAAUCUGAUGCAGACCUCUAAUAUAUAAGCCUUUUGAAAAGAUGAUAUAAAAUUGCAGUGCCAUGUACCCACAACAUUUACUCAUAAGUCUGCAGACUGUGCUGCAGUUUUCAUUUGAUGCAAAGUGCACUUACAGCAGGAAUUCCUUGCCUUGUUUUUUAAUGAUGAAAAUAUCACUUUUUCAGCCUACUGAGGACUGGAGUAUUGCAGAUGUUCUCUUGUUCUAUUUAUAUGUAUUUUCCUGCAGUCAUCCAUAGGAAUAUUGUUUGUAUUCUGACAUAUACUGUAUAAUAUCCUCAUCCGUCAUGAAUACCUUUUUAACUGUUUGCCCUUUGCUAUUUAUUUUAAAUAUAUACUUGCUGUAUAAACAGAAUAUUUAAUUGUUUCUACCGUUUUUUAUUCGCCUUUUUAUUCAGCAUCCUCUGUCUCCAAUUAACCUAGAAUCCCUCCCGGUCUCAUCUUCUGUUUGUUUUUUAAGCUCCUGUUUCUAUGCUCUUUUUAGUCAUGGAUGCU